AUGAGCCAGGAACAGCCCCGGAGGCCCCAGGGCGGCGCCGACCCCAUCAAGUACGGCGACGUGUUCGACGUCUCCGGCGAGCUCAAGGGGAAGCCGAUCGCACCACAGGACGCGGCCACCAUGCAGGCCGCCGAGAACAUGGUGCUGGGCGGCACCCGGCAGGGUGGGGUCGCUGCCGUCAUGCAGUCGGCAGCAGACGUGAACGUGCGGACUGGGGCAGUGAGGCCUGGCCAGGUGAGCGACGUCGCGAGGACCAGGGCGUGACUAUCUCGCAGGCUAACAUCGGCAGCAGGCGAGUCGUUAGUGAGGUAGUCGGCGGCCAGGUUGUGGGUGGAUACGUCCAACCGGCCGUGGACACUGGAAAGCCGGGAGGAGCUCUCGACCGCGACGCCAUAACCAUCGGCGAAGCGCUGGAAGCGUCCGCUCUCUCUGCAGGAGACAAGCCACUGGAGCAGAGCGACGCAGCCGCAAUACAAGCUGCCGAGGUAAGAGCCACCGGCUCCAACGGGACUAUGCCUGGAGGAUCGCAUCGCUCGCUCAGGCUGCUGCAACGCAACGCCAGGACCGCGGCCAAUGAAGACAAAACCAAGCUCGCCGAUGUUUUGACGAUUGCGACGGACGUACUGCCAGGGGACAAGGCGGUGACGCGGGAGGACGCCGACAGGGUGAUUGUGGCCGAGAUGAGGAACAAAGUUGAGAUGACAACGACCCCCGGCGGUGUGGCAGAGUCCAUGGCGGCGGCCGCCAGGCUUGACCAGAACAAACGAUAG